GAGAAAGUAGCUAUGGGAAAAGUUUUACAUUUACGAUGUAAGGAUGCUCGUUUGACUCGGGUCUUUCUUA
rnacentral:tRNA from 1 species